UUGAAUUAAACAUUGAACAGUGUGAACUUCUGCAGCUUCAGCCAGUCAGAUCAGAAAACCAAGAAGGUAAAAAUCCGUCUGGUAAGUUCCUUCAGCGGAUCUCAGCAGGAGCCAAACCAAAAACCCAGAUAGAGCUCCGAUGCUGCAUCAGGUCUGACGGACCAAGCUCUACCUCCCAAACAGGAUUAGUACUUUCACCAAAGUCCUGCCAUUUCUGCAGGAGUUCUGGAAGUUCUGCAGGUGUUAACACCAUUUCAUGAAUCUGAAGGUCAUAAUCAGCAAGAGUCUAUUUAGGUUCCUGUUAAAUCCAUUUAAACCGUUUUCUUUGAGGGUUGUCCCACCUUAAAGAGCAAGUCACCCCCUACCAGAGUCUAACUCCACUCCCACUUCAUGUUUGAAAAAUGCAACAAAUGCUGUUGCCUAGCAGACCGAGAGGGCGGAGCCGCUAACAAAUACACACACACACACACACAGGCUCACGACAGCACUGUGACAUCAUAAUGUACCAGUUUACAUCAUAGCAUACUUCUUAGCCAAUAGCGGUGGCUGAUUUAAAUUAAAAUACAGUGCAGAGUUUUUACCUGACAAUGGCACAACACUGACAGUUUUAGGCAGAAUAUUUAAAUUUUAACUAAGAUGCACUGAAGUGCCAAAUUAUUGACGACACAUGUCUGCAGCACGAUUAGACACUCGUUUAUUUAGUUAAUCAGCAAAAAAAGUUUAUUUGGGGGUGACUUGCUCUUUAAAUGUUCCUUUUUUUCAGUUUAAACUAGAAAAAUCUAUAAAUUUAAGCUAAAAAACAAUGAAAAUGGAUCCAUGCUGUAGACUUCUCAGAGUUAACACCAGGAAUGACUUCUGUCCAGUGAGAGUUGGAACAAGCAGGGAAAGAUUUUCACAUUUCGUGGAAACGUGUGAAAAGCUGCAGAUGUUUGCUUUAGAGCAGCUGAAACCCCCCUUCAGGUGUUUUAACCUUAAAAUGAGCCAAUGGGAAUAAACGGAGACCUUAAAGCGUGGAGCUGAAACCUGCAGCUGCACAACUCCAGAAGUGUCCCAUGAAUAAGAGCAAAAGCUGCUGCAGUAAAAUGCUCAAAGAAACGCAGAUAAAAAGGAUAAAUGGCUUUGCAAAGCUCACAGAUUACAGCCCGAGGACGCAUCAGCACUUUCUCACAUUCUGAGGUGGUUCCGGUGGAAAUCUGAUGCUAAACGUCACCGUUGAUCCACAGAAACAGAUCCAGCAGCCUCCAUUCAGAGGCGACGGAGGGAGACCCAAACACACAUGAAGUUCAGCAGCACAGCAGGGUUCACACAAACAUCAUUUAGAUGAAACAGACCUGGAGCAGCAGGAAAACUGGAAAACCGAAGCUCACAUCCAGAAAGAACUUCAGCCAGGAACGUUUCAGGAAAUCAUAACAGGAGUUCUGGUUCAUUACAGGUGGGUGCAAUGAGCCAAUCAAGGGGGGAAACUACAAAAUAAAACAGGAAGUGAAGCUAGAAGAAAGGUUUUGAAGUUAAAUUAUUUUUACAAACAAACAAAACUUCCAGGGUGAUAAAAGAAAAUAAAAACGUGUAAUUUUGUUGAUUUGUUGUUCAUGGGGCCUGUAAAUUCAAUUCAAGUUUAUUUAUAAAGCGCCAAAUCAGGACAAGAGAGUCGUCUCAAGGCACUUCACAUAAUAAACGUUCCAAUCCAGGUCAGGUCAUUAAGCCAAUCAGAAAAAAAGUUUAAUAUAUAAGGAACCCAGCAGGUUGCAUCAAGUCACUGACUAGUGUCAGAGUCUUUACAGCAAUCCUCAUACUAAGCAAGCAUUUAGCGACAGUGGAGAGGAAAACUCCCUUUUAACAGGAAGAAACCUCCAGAGAAUCCUGAAUCAGUAUAAGCAGCCAUCCUCCACGACUCACUGGGGAUGGAGAAGACACACACACACACACACACACACACACACACACACACACACACGCACGCACACACACACACACACACAUGUAUUUAUCCUAGUGGAUCUAUAAUUAAACGGGUGAACUAGUAGUAGCACAUUCAACAUCAAGGAAAGUAAAAAGUUAUUAUCAGGAGAGGGAGAAUGUUUAAGUGGUUAGCAGCAGUGUGCUAGACGAUGGCCCCCUCCAUGAGGCCACCACAGCUCAGCAGAACAUCACUGUAGCUUCUUCUGGGGAGAAAAACACUUAGAGAGAAAAUAAAGUUAACAGCUGAAAUAGCAGGAAAUAAUACAGUUAAAGAGCAGAUUGUAGAAGAAAGUAGUCGAGUGUGGAAAGUGGUCAGUGUGUCCUCCAGCAGUCUAAGCCUAUAGCAGCAUAACUACAGAGAUAACUCUGGGUAACCUAGCCUUUUUAGAUGGAGGCAUGUUGGAGGCAGGGCAAGGGAGAGCCGUCUUUACCGACUGUAUACUCCACCUCCCUGUGGUACUCCACAAGUAACCCUGGAGCAUGAAGAUUUGUCAUGUCCAUUAACAAAAUGAAAUCUAUCAGACAGGCAGGAUUUAAACCAGCCUAGCGCUAAAUUCACUGCUUUUAACUUCUCACGUGUCUUUUUGUUUUAUUAUUUAUGUGAUUUCACUUUCAAAGUUUAUUUUAAUGAAUUUUCUGUAAAUAAUUUUUGUUUUGAUGUGUCUUAUUAUGUAAAUAAAGUUAACUCUUCAAGGCUGACAAUGAGGAAAAGGGCAGGAUUUUUAAAAUUCUUAUAAAUUUGAUGAAAUAUUUAACAUUUUUCUUCUUGUUCAAACCUCCCUGUGGUUUUUAUUCCCACCCUCUCCGAUCAAACGGGACUAAACGGGAGCUGCCGCCUGUCAGCUGUUGAAUGUUUGGAAGUUUAAAGCUCCAAGUCACACGUGUCCAUCAGCGCUCCAGCAGCAGCUCGAACAUCGUGUUCCUGAUGGAGGAGCCGAGCCGUGGCGGAGCAGAACACAGACUUCCUCCACGGAAACAUGGGAAAGUUUCACGGUGGGGAAAAGCCAGCCAGCUUGGCAGGAAGCUGGCGUGAAGCAAAGAAAACCUUGAUGAUUUCUGAGUUUGCUCAGUUUGUUUCAUCAGAGAAAGGAGAAGGAAUCGCGGUGUAGGAUGUGGCAACCCAAAGCCCCGAGUGGGAGGAAUUCGCCGUGCCAAUUUUUUGUGGAGUGUUGAGUUCCUUCAUGCUUUAAUGCUGCCUGUAAGUCAUCCUUGUAAGCCCUUAGUCGAGACAUCUGAAGUGGUAAGUGAGACAUUUCACGCAUGUGAGCGCGCUCAGAGGCAGGACGGCGUCGCAGGCAGCAUUAAACGCUGCUGCUUCUGAAACAUGGGAGCGCAGACGAGUACAUCAGGAAAACGGGAAUGUUUGGUGGUUCCUAACAGGAGACGAUAAACAAAACACAUCAUGUUUAUGAGAAGGUUUGCUUUUUUAGAUGCAGAACAAUGAAGUCAAGUUCACCUCCAACACGUCGGUGCAAAAGUAACGCAAAGGCAUUUAAAUGAAUCUCUGCAUGGAUCCAAGAUGGAUUUUCUUCUUUUGGUUGUGAGAACAAUUCCACGAUUUAUCCGCAGCUCCACCUGUGUCCAGGUCUCAUCGACACCAUCUGAGACUACUGAACAUCAGUAUUGCUGGAAUGUUUUGAACAAAAUCUGCAAAAACGGAACCUCAAAGGCUCCCGUAGAGGCUACUAUGGCUGAUCAAGGCCAAUACUCGCCCUACGGUCGUAGUGCACUUGGAGGAAGUGUGCUGUGAGGCUUCGAGUGCGUGGUGCACAAGUGUGCAAAUUAUGGUAAAUGGCCUGCAUUUGAUAUAGCGCCUUCUAGAGUCCUGGAGCCCCUCAAGGCGCUUUACAACACAGUCAGUCAUUCACCCAUUCACACACACAUUCACACGCUGGUGGGGGUGAGCUACAAUGUAGCCACAGCUGCCCUGGGGCGCACUGACAGAGGCGAGGCUGCCGAGCACUGGCACCACCGGUCCCACCGACCACCACCAGCAGGCAACGUGGGUUACGUGUCUUGCCCAAGGACACAACAACAGCGACAGACUGAGCGGGGCUCGAACCUGCAACCUUCCGAUUACGGGGCGAGCACUUAACUCCUGUGCCACCGUCGCCCCAUAGUUGCCAAAUUGAGACAGGGAGUGUUGCGUCAUCGACCACAGGAUGCUGUGAUACUUUUUUUAAAAACCUUUAUUAACAACUUUCAAACAAACAACCAUUUUUAAAAUAACUUUACGUUUAUUGCUGCUUCGUCUAAAACGUUCAGAGCAUCAACUAAUCGUCCUAAAAUUAACACCUUUCAGCAAUGGAUUGUGGGAAAUACCCCUCACCCAGGUCCGCAUCGAUGCUGAAUUGGGUGAAGUACGGCUCAAGGGUGCGAAAGAGGCGUGGUCAACUUCCAUACUUGAGAAUCGGCACUCGCACCUCUAAUUUCAGGGCGCAAGUGACACUGCCACUACCCAUAAUGCAUCACAAGAGCAUUUUUUUAUCUUAUAGGAGGUUCAAGCCGACAAACCAAAACACAGCGUUUACUAAACUACUCUACAGUUACAGAUUACUCAUUACAUCAUACAGAAUGGACUAGGUGGUUCUCUACGUUGGAGGUCAGGAAGCGUUAUUAAAUCAGCCGUUUUCUCCUCAGUCGGGUCUUAGGGAGCUGGAGUCUAGCAGCACUCAUCAGGAGAGACGUGGGGGACACCCUGGACAGGUUCAGUCCAUCACAGGAGGACACCGAGACAAACUACCAGUCACACCUGUACGAGUCUCCAGUUACCCUGAUAUGCAUGUGUUUGGUCUGUGGGAGGAAACACACAAGCAUGGGGGAACAUGACAUGACCAUAGACAGGAACACGUAGACAAGUCAACGCAGAGUGAGCAGCGAUGUCUAUGGUGUCAACAACCAGCACACUGAUGAAAACCGAUCUCUAGCCUACCUGUUUAUAUUUGAAUUGAUUUGAUUUGAGUAGAUUUUGAUUAUCAUGUCAUACCUUAUGUCUGAUUUAGAGAAAAAGCAGAAUAAAUGUGUUUUUUCCAGUUGGGUAAACACCUUCCUGUUAUGUUGUGUGUCCCUGUGCUCCCCACCCCCUUCCAGUUCUCCCCAUGGCUCCCCAUGGCUCCCCUAGUCACUUCAUAUUCAUACUCAUCUCACUUAUGAAGUCUCCCCGUUUAUAGAUUCUCUCCUCUUUGGGUUCUUGUCUCUAGUUUCAGGUUUAUUGGUUCUCUUACCUUUAAGUGUUGUGUUUAUAGUAUUUAGAUUAGUUUUCCCCUUCCCUACUUAGUUAGUCUCUCCUGCCUCCUUCAGCGUUCACUCCCCACACCUGCUAGCUGUUUCCCUGAUUGCUUCCCUCUGUCUUGUCUCUCGGUGUUUGUGGGUUUAUUGUCUCCUGCAGCGUGUCGUAGCCUCGUGUUUUUCCAGUUUCGAGUUUCCCGCGGUCGAGUUUUUCGCCUCCUGUGAAUAGUUUUUGGGAUGGCUCCCCGGGUUUGAGCCUUUUGGAUUUUGUUUGUUGCAUUCCUUGAAAUACUCAUCUCUUCGUGUCGUUCUGGGUUCCUGCACAUUUGGUCCAGCCUCCUCUAACGUGACACUUCCUCAGCAGAAAUAAAUGCACUGGGGGGCGAAUGGAGACCCAUCCAAGAUGGCGGCCUGCUGCUACGCCACCUCCAGUAGGCGGCGCUGUCCGUGGGGUGUCUAUGUAGAUGGAGUCUGUGAUGCUAGCUCCGGACAUGUUUGGGGACAUCCACUGCAGAAAGAUCACAAAGCCAUAAAUGUGUCUUACAUGUAAUUAUGGGAUGUAAUCUGUUGCCCAGAUGAGUAACAGUGUGUAGAGCAGAAUAGCGAUAGCAUAUCUCAAUUUGGAGCGAAACAAACAUGGCCGAACGUCGGAUGAUGUCAAGAUUUACGGGUCACACAGCGAGCCCGUUCCUCAGAGGGCUGGCAUUUUACAACAGGGCCCGGAGGUUAGUAAUCACUUGUUUCGUGAGCCUGGCUCACUCCUUCGGUUCUGAAGCCCCCCAGCCCCCCGCCUCCUACCUCCCCCACCUCGCCAUCACACACUCGAGCCGCACACGGGCACCCUAAUCUGAAAAGCUUGACCCCACCUCAAGGCUGAGGCAAAACAUCAUUUUAGAGCCAGUUUUCUUUUAACCCUCAUCCCCACCAGGUGAGAUUCCGGACCGCGAUAAUCCCGGCCCUCGGCCCUCAGCCUCGGUCCAGUUCAACUCUCAGCAGCGUCUCCCUCUGAGGACAGAGAUUACCAGCAGGUGGAUGAAGUCUCGCAUCAAAGUGUGGGGAGGCAGCAAUAAUUAAGUCUGGCUGAGCUUUUAAAGGCCUUCCUGCUAAAAGAAGGAAACACCAAAGAUCCCAUGAUCUUCAACAUUCAAUGAAAAGGCAUCAGGAGAGAAUGAGAAAACAUUGUGUAUAAGGAAAACAAUCUGUAAGACAAAGGUAAGUACAAGGUAUCAGGAAUAAAUAAAAGCAUCAGGAAAAUAAAUGUGUCAAUGAAAAAGCAUCAGGUAUCAGGAAAAUAAUCUUUCAGACAAACAUUAUCAUGCAUCAAGAGAAAAAAGCAUCAGGAAAACAAAUGUGUCAUUGAAAAAGCAUCAGGUAUCAGGAAAAUUAUCUUUCAGACAAAGAUUAUCAUGCAUCAAGAGAAAAAAAGCAUCAGGAAGAUAAAUUUGUCAAUGAAAAAGCAUCAGGUAUCAGGAAAAUUAUCUUUCAAAGAUUAUCAUGCAUCAAGAGAAAAAAGCAUCAGGAAAAUAAAUUUGUCAAUGAAAAAGCAUCAGGUAUCAGGAAAAUUAUCUUUCAAAGAUUAUCAUGCAUCAAGAGAAAAAAGCAUCAGGAAAAUAAAUUUGUCAAUGAAAAAGCAUCAGGUAUCAGGAAAAUUAUCUUUCAAAGAUUAUCAUGCAUCAAGAGAAAAAAGCAUCAGGAAGAUAAAUUUGUCAAUGAAAAAGCAUCAGGUAUCAGGAAAAUUAUCUUUCAGACAAAGAUUAUCAUGCAUCAAGAGAAAAAAGCAUCAGGAAAACAAAUGUGUCAUUGAAAAAGCAUCAGGUAUCAGGAAAAUUAUCUUUCAGACAAAGAUUAUCAUGCAUCAAGAGAAAAAAAAGCAUCAGGAAGAUAAAUUUGUCAAUGAAAAAGCAUCAGGUAUCAGGAAAAUUAUCUUUCAGACAAAGAUUAUCAUGCAUCAAGAGAAAAAAGCAUCAGGAAAAUAAAUUUGUCAAUGAAAAAGCAUCAGGUAUCAGGAAAAUUAUCUUUCAAAGAUUAUCAUGCAUCAAGAGAAAAAAGCAUCAGGAAGAUAAAUUUGUCAAUGAAAAAGCAUCAGGUUUCAGGAAAAUUAUCUUUCAGACAAAGAUUAUCAUGCAUCAAGAGAAAAAAGCAUCAGGAAAAUAAAUGUGUAAUUGAAAAAGCAUCAGGUAUCAGGAAAAUUAUCUUUCAUCUUUCGUAUGUUCUUACUGUGUUUGACUUCUAAAUCAAAUUUUGGUUCUUUUUAAAAACACAGACGAGGUUUCUUUUACCUUGCUGCUGACAGUUUCGUUCACGGCUGCGAACUUCCUCAGAGCUGACCCUCUGCCAGUAGCAAGGUAAAAAGAAACCUCUUCUGUGUUUUUACAAAGAACCAAAAAUGGAUUUAAAAUUAUCUGUCAGAUAAAAAUUACGCAUCAAGAGAAAAGCAUCAGGUAGUAAAUGAUAAUUCAUCUUUCAGACAAAUCAAGUGCAACGACAAAUAUCACAAAAAGUGCAUCAGGUAUCAAAAAUAGAUUAACUAGGCAAAAGGUAUCAGAUGUCGGGACAACAUGUGUCAUACAAAUAUAUUAAAUAUCAGCAAACCACAUUCAUCAGCAUAGAAAAGCACAAGAGAUCAUGACAGCAAUGAAAGAAAUAAUUAGACAAAAGGCAUCAAGGUUUAGGGAAUUAGCCAUUAGAAAAAAGCAACAUUUAUCUGGACAUCAGUCCAACUAAAGGGCAUCAGUUAUCAUUAAUCUGUCAGCCAGUUAGAAACAAGACUUUAUGUACCAGCAGAAAUCAUUCAUCAGGUAAAAAGGCACCAGGAAUUUUUGUCCCACAAGAGCAUCAGGUUACCUGACUGUCAUGGUUCACGAGCCGUGGUGAGUGCUCCUCAUCUACCAACUAUCUUGGAGUUAUUUCCCACAGGUGAGGAGCGGAGGGGUCACCAGCUGCGCUGGAUUUCCAAUCAGGAGUACUGGUAUGAAGGGAGGAUGGAGACACCACUCGAUGCCGUAUGAUUGCUCCAGUUUAGGAACACUCAACUACUUCCAUUACCUUCGCCGCUCAAACCCCGGAUCACCAGAACCACGUCCCAUUCUCCUCCACAGUACCUGCCUUGGUCCUCUCCGCUGCCUCACCCACCUCGGCCAACGGGUCCUCCACCUGUGCUCACCUCGGCCCACCACCUUCCUCGUCAUCCAUGGCUUACUAUCUGGACUGACGCCUUACGGCACAUCAUCCACUGGACUUCCCAGUGCUGCUUUAGUU